rnacentral:rRNA from 1 species
UGCGGAGGGUGCAAGCGUUAUCCGGAAUCACUGGGUUUAAAGGGUGCGUAGGCGGAUAUUUAAGUCAGUGGUGAAAUCUUGUCGCUUAACGAUAAAAUUGCCAUUGAUACUGAAUGUCUUGAAUUGGGUUGAGGUUAGCGGAAUGUGACAUGUAGCGGUGAAAUGCAUAGAUAUGUCAUGGAACACCAAUUGCGAAGGCAGCUAGCUGGGCCUUGAUUGACGCUGAGGCACGAAAGCGUGGGUAGCGAACAGGAUUAGAUACCCUGGUAGUCCACGCCCUAAACGAUGCUAACUCGAUGUUUGGACGUAAGUUUGAGCAUCCAAGGGAAACCGAUAAGUUAGCCACCUGGGGAGUACGACCGCAAGGUUGAA